rnacentral:rRNA from 1 species
CACGUAGGCGGAUCUUUAAGUCAGGGGUGAAAUCCCAAGGCUCAACCUUGGAACUGCCUUUGAUACUGGGGAUCCCGAGUCCGGAAGAGGUGAGUGGAACUGCGAGUGUAGAGGUGAAAUUCGUAGAUAUUCGCAAGAACACCAGUGGCGAAGGCGGCUCACUGGUCCGGCACUGACGCUGAGGUGCGAAAGCGUGGGGAGCAAACA